AAGUCGGACUAAUACCGCAUAAAACAGGGGCACCGCAUGGUGAUAUUUGUUAAAGAAAUUCGCUGAUAGAUGGGCAUGCGUUCCAUUAGGUAGUUGGUGAGGUAACGGCUCACCAAGCCGACGAUGGAUAGGGGAACUGAGAGGUUGGUCCCCCACACUGGUACUGAGACACGGACCAGACUCCUACGGGAGGCAGCAGUGAGGAAUAUUGGUCAAUGGGCGGGAGCCUGAACCAGCCAAGUCGCGUGAAGGAAGAAGGAUCUAUGGUUACGUAAACUUCUUUGCAGGGAAUAAAGUGCAGGACGUGUCCUGUUUUGUAUGUACCCUGAGAAUAAGGAUCGGCUAACUCCGUG
rnacentral:rRNA from 1 species